CGGAGAAACUGCGAGGAGCCAACCCUAGUACGAGAUGACUGGGUUGACCACCUAUGUUGUAUCAGUUGUGAUGCCAAUAGCAGCACCGGGCAGUUAAGUUGGUAUGGAAGAACUAUUGCUUUGCGGGAAAUCCUUUUGUAUAGAAGUUUUAGUGCAAGGUUUUUGAACAUAAUUUCGGUAGGCAAGAGGUGUAAGCACUGCGAGGUGUGAAGCGAUCUCAUACUAAACGAAUGU
rnacentral:ncRNA from 1 species